rnacentral:rRNA from 1 species
UACAGAGGUCCCAAGCGUUGUUCGGAUUCACUGGGCGUAAAGGGUGCGUAGGUGGUGAGGUAAGUCGGAUGUGAAAGCUCGGAGCUCAACUCCGAAAUGGCAUUGGAAACUACCUUGCUCGAGGGUUGGAGGGGGGACUGGAAUACUUGGUGUAGCAGUGAAAUGCGUAGAUAUCAAGUGGAACACCAGUGGCGAAGGCGAGUCCCUGGACAACUCCUGACACUGAGGCACGAAAGCUAGGGAAGCAAACAGG